rnacentral:rRNA from 1 species
AGAGUUUGAUCCUGGCUCAGGAUGAACGCUAGCGGCAGGCCUAAUACAUGCAAGUCGAGGGGUAACAGGGUAGCAAUACUGCUGACGACCGGCGCACGGGUGCUUAACGCGUAUGCAACCUACCUUUAACUGGGGGAUAGCCCCGAGAAAUCGGGAUUAAUACCGCAUAACACUGUGAUAUGGCAUCAUAUUACAGUUAAAACUCCGGUGGUUAAAGAUGGGCAUGCGUGACAUUAGUUAGUUGGUAGGGUAACGGCUUACCAAGACUACGAUGUCUAGGGGUUCUGAUAGGAUGAUCCCCCACACUGGUACUGAGACACGGACCAGACUCCUACGGGAGGCAGCAGUAAGGAAUAUUGGUCAAUGGACGCAAGUCUGAACCAGCCAUGCCGCGUGCAGGAAGACGGCCCUAUGGGUUGUAAACUGCUUUUAUAUAGGAAUAAACUCAUGUUCGUGAACAUGACUGAAGGUACUAUAAGAAUAAGGACCGGCUAACUCCGUGCCAGCAGCCGCGGUAAUACGGAGGGUCCAAGCGUUAUCCGGAUUUAUUGGGUUUAAAGGGUGCGCAGGCGGACCUAUUAGUCAGUGGUGAAAUCUCGGGGCUCAACUCCGAAACUGCCAUUGAUACUGUAGGUCUUGAGUUUGGUUGAAGUGGGCGGAAUGUAGCAUGUAGCGGUGAAAUGCAUAGAUAUGCUACAGAACACCGAUCGCGAAGGCAGCUCACUAAGCCAAAACUGACGCUCAGGCACGAAAGCGUGGGUAGCGAACAGGAUUAGAUACCCUGGUAGUCCACGCCGUAAACGAUGAUCACUCGUCGUUGGCGACACAUUGUCAGUGACCAAGCGAAAGCGAUAAGUGAUCCACCUGGGGAGUACGUUCGCAAGAAUGAAACUCAAAGGAAUUGACGGGGGCCCGCACAAGCGGUGGAGCAUGUGGUUUAAUUCGAUGAUACGCGAGGAAUCUUACCUGGGCUCAAAUGUAAGUUGACAGGUCCUGAAAGGGAUUUUUCUUCGGACAAUUUACAAGGUGCUGCAUGGUUGUCGUCAGCUCGUGCCGUGAGGUGUCGGGUUAAGUCCCAUAACGAGCGCAACCCCUAUUCUUAGUUGCCAUCAGGUCAUGCUGGGGACUCUAGGAAAACUGCCUACGCAAGUAGAGAGGAAGGUGGGGAUGACCUCAAAUCAGCACGGCCCUUACGUCCAGGGCUACACACGUGCUACAAUGGCCGGUACAGAGGGCAGCCAUCCCGCGAGGGAGAGCGAAUCUCGAAAGCCGGUCUCAGUUCGGAUCGAAGUCCGCAACCCGACUUCGUGAAGCUGGAAUCGCUAGUAUCGCGCAUCAGCCAUGGCGCGGUGAAUACGUUCCCGGGCCUUGUACACACCGCCCGUCAAGCCAUG